rnacentral:lncRNA from 1 species
AGAAUUGGCCUAGAGUUCCGCCCUCCUCACCUUAAUGCUUCUGCUAAAAUAUACAGCUAUGCUUGCUGAAGAUUAAGAAGCUGCUUUUGAUUCUGGCAGAUAUUCAUCUCAAAGAGAAAAAAAAAACCCUAGUGUCUUCAUUUGGUAGCAUUUUAAUAUUUAAUUUUCCUUAUCUGCUUCAACUUAAGAUGACUUCCUUGUUGGCCUAAUUGACUAGUAAUUCCUUUGUUUACUUUUUUCUGAAUCUGAGGAACCAAGGCAUAAGUAUUAAAAAUGGUUACAUUAGCACUUAACUUUUUUAUGAAAUUAGAGUAUUUCAGAAAGGGGUAAUUUAGGCAGGAAUAUAUGUAGAAUUUUGCAUUUUAAUUAAAAAGCCUCAAAAUGAAAUGAACCUCUGACAGUAACAGAUGACUGCUUCUAAAAGCUGCAUUACUAUUUGAUAUAUGUUCAGUAUUUUCUUGUGGAUAAUAAGUCCUAUGACUUGUUUCAGGAAAAGUGACAGGACUAAAACAAUUAAAAAAGACAAAGCUGUUCUUUUUUAAUCAUAUACUCAUAAAUAAAACUGGGUUGUGAAUUAUUUCCAGUGAAGCAACUGACAAAGUAUGAGUAAAUCACUCUAAGAACUAAAGCUGUCUUGCUUUUUUUUUUUUUCUUUUUUGGAAUGUUCAAAGCAAACCUCUAUCCUAGUCCAAUGAUAAAUUUCCUUUGACAAAUAAAUAUUUACAAAGUAUGAAAUAUAGACUUCGUGCACUUCCUAAGGCCAAAGCAUCAUGUUUAAACUAAAAUUUAAUAUUUUCUCUCUCCUCAAAUACACCAAAAUAAGAACAGAACUUAAAAAUAAUUUUCUCUUGCAGCAGAGUGUCCAUUAAUCAUUUUUCAGAUAAUAUUGGCUUUGUGAGUGUUCAGGUAGAAAGAAAAACUGUAAUUUCUAGAUUGAUCAGAAAACCUGAGAGUCUUUAUGGAUUUGAAGAAAACAAUAAAACCUGGCAAAACAGAAUUUUCUGUAGCCCCCAUCAUAAAGUCAAGAAGGACAAAUCUUUCAACAAGCUCCUACUUUCCUAUGAAAAUCCUUUAUGUGGUAAAGGGCUUGAUUAGGUAGAUCAAAGGGUUAAUUUACUUGUGAUUUGAGAAAAGACUGAGACUUCCCUUUUAUUUUAUUUUAUUUAUUUUUUUUAACUGUGGUGUGUGGGAGGAAGGUAGGAAGAGGCCCCAGAAUGAAUUCACUAAUUGGGGUUUUCACCUGCUGUGGGUCUAAUCGAAUACAAUGCCUUAUUUGUAGCUAAAGAGGAGGGCAGAUUAUGCAGAGUGUCAGAAUUUCUGCCUAGUUUUGAAAUUCCUGUUAUUUGGCACCACCCUUUGGGAAAGGCAGACAGUUACAGCUUAGAGCUGUUGUUAAGGUGGACCAGGGAUGCUUGAACCACCUUAACCAGUAUCCAUUUUUAGCAAGAGGUUCUGUGCUUCUGUACCCGGGUUAGCACUAUAGCUGGCAGGCUAAUAGGUACUCGGGAUUCUUUACCGGGAAGCAACUGCCAAGCCUGUGAGGUUAAUGAAGUGUGGCUUUAUUUUAGUGAAGAUGCUAAACUUCACAUCUUUUUAGAUGUUCAGUUUGAUAUAGGUGUCUCUGUGAAGUUUGAAAAAUCUUAUUAAAAGAAUACUGUAUGAGAGUAAAGCCAAGUUUGACUUUAUCUAGAACCUGUUUGGUGGUUUACGUGGUAGCUGGCUCAGAGAACUUUCCUCAGCCUCACUUACUCUGCCUCCCUGCAGGGGAAGUGCCUGGAAAAAUAGGCUUUUGUGUGGGUGUGAAGUGCUCUGUGUCUGAAUGUAGAGGCCUCUUCAUUUACUAGUUAAUGAGAACUGACUGGAUAUUUUCUAUCCAGAAGAUGGUGGCUUCAGAUUGAUCUAAAGGGAUUGUUGUACAUACUUUAAUUAGUACACGGUGGUAUUUGCCCUAACAAUGACUCACCAUCACUACAAGCGUUUGUUAGACAUCUGAUUCACUGUUCAGGGCUAACACUUGUACCAUGCAAAGAGAAACAAGGAAUCCUUGGUUCUUAAAACCCAAAUGCUGAAAUUUGACUGUGAAAUGUGUUAUGCUUAGUUGAAGCAAUACCUAUAUGCCAAAUGGGUUUUUAUCAAACGACGCAGGUUAUACUUAAGAUUGGUUAGGGAACAAAAAGCAGUUCAGAUAGAGACUAUUGGAGCCAGAGGGCACUGGAGUCUGAGGGGUGGUGAAGUUCCUCAGGGCCAUCCCCAGGCAAGUGCCUGCUGCAAACUGCAAACUGUUCGCUGUCUUUCCUUUCCCUUGCUGAUCCUCAUUUUACACCGGUAAAAAUCAGGCUAACCCUGCAACUGCAAGCAGCCUAAAAGGAAAAGGAUGUGUUUGUGGAAGAUAGAAGCAGGCUGGCCUGUGUACUUGACCCUUUACACCCUCCACUAGACGGACUCAUCCAAAUCCAUGCCCUACUACAGUGACAUGUCACAUCCAUAGCUCCAAUCCAGAGUCUUCCCUCUGAGUUCCAGACUCAGAAGUACAAGUGCCUUUGACAUCACACUGCCACCUCAAAGUCAUCAGGCUUGAGACUGAAUAUAUCAUCUCUCCCUGACCCUCCCUGCCUAAAUAUGCCUCCUGCCUCUCAAAGUCCUGACUUGGUGAAUAUUACUCAUAUAAUCUUGGGAGUUCUUGUUGUGGUGCAGUGGAAACAAAUCCGGCUAGCAUCCAUGAGGAUGCAGGUUCAAUCCCUGGUCUUGCUCAGUGGGUCAGGGAUCCCAAGUGGCUGGAGGCCAGCAGCUGCAGCUCUAAUUCGACGCCUAGCCUGGAAACUUCCAUAUGUUG